UACGGGGGGGGCAAGCGUUGUUCGGAAUUACUGGGCGUAAAGGGCUCGUAGGCGGCCAACUAAGUCAGACGUGAAAUCCCUCGGCUUAACCGGGGAACUGCGUCUGAUACUGGAUGGCUUGAGAUUGGGAGAGGGAUGCGGAAUUCCAGGUGUAGCGGUGAAAUGCGCAGAUAUCUGGAGGAACACCGGUGGCGAAGGCGACAUCCUGGACCGGUAUUGACGCUGAGGCGCGAAAGCCAGGGGAGCAAACGGG
rnacentral:rRNA from 1 species